rnacentral:rRNA from 1 species
GGGUCCGGACACACUGAGGAUUGACAGGCAAAAGAUACAAGUUUUCUUUGUGAGAGCUUGCAUUGUAAAAUAUGCGAGUCCUUUCAUGAUUAUGUGAUAGGUGGUGCAUGGCCGUUCUUAGUUCGUGGAGUGAUCUGUCUGCUUAAUUGCGUUUCACAACGAUUUAAAAUGCUAUGUUUUCUGUGUUUGCUGUUCGGUUUUAGCUCUUACGGGAGUUUUUAACUUUGAACGCACACGGCGUAGCUUAAAACAAUCGGAAAGCAACGAACGUGACNGCAACCUCUUGUUGCCUUUAUUUUUAAAAGCGUGGAAAAUUUUAUAUUUUCCUACGCUUGAAAAAGGCUUUAAAACUAGAGGGACCGCUGUUCUAUUCUCUUAAACCAGAGGAAGAUUGCGGCAAUAACAGGUCUGUGAUGCCCUCAGAUGUUCCGGGCUGCACACGUGCUACAAUGAUUGUUGCAGUGAGCAUCUAUUUUCAAACGCUACCGUUGCGGAUUUUGUGAGAAGGGGGAUUUGUUUUAAAGCUUUCGGGUGGAGAAGCAGGUUCUUUUUUUUUCACAAUUUAUUCCGCGUUACGUGUCAGCUAAACCUGCUUCGAAAGCAAGUAGGU